rnacentral:rRNA from 1 species
AUUGAACGCUGGCGGCAGGCUUAACACAUGCAAGUCGAGCGAGCGGCGGACUGGUGAGUAAUGUCUGGGAAACUGCCUGAUGGAGGGGGAUAACUACUGGAAACGGUAUCUAAUACCGCAUACCAUCAGAUGUGCCCAGAUGGGAUUAGCUAGUAGGUGGGGUAAUGGCUCACCUAGGCGACGAUCCCUAGCUGGUCGGAGAGGAUGACCAGCCACACGGGAACGGAGAGACGGUCCAGACUCCUACGGUAGGCAGCAGUGGGGAAUAUUGCACGAUGGGCGAAAGGCGGAUGCAGCAAUGCCGAGUGAGUGAAGAAGGCGUUCGGGGUGGAAAGCAAUUUCAGCGUUGAGGCGUUACCCGCAGAAGAAGCACCGGCUAACUCCGUGCCAGCAGCCGCGGUAAUUC